UUAGUAAAGAACUUUGAACUUUAUAAAAUAAAUUUUGAAAGAAUUGGUGUUUGUUUACACAUACAUUUUCCAAAUAUGACUCUUUUCUCUCACACGGGUACUUUGAGUGUUUUCAGGAAUUUUGUAUAUAGUAAUUCUUCACACCUUUUCUAGAUAAUAACUACCCUAUAUAUAGACAAAUAACAUAACUGUCAUUAACGACUAAAUCCUAAAACUACGACACAUGGCUUUCCUCCUUUCGCCAGAUGCUUCCACGCGUCUUCUGCCAAUCGUCACAACCUUUUAAAUUCAAAUUUACUUUUAAGUCGAAGUGACGUCUUCCUUCAGGAUUUUGUCGAAUUACCAACGCACUGCACUGCCUUUCGUGUCUUGUCGAAAGUGCUUUUCCUAGGUGUAAACAUCUUUGUCGAAAUGACGAAACCUCCCUCUUGUCGAAGUGUCGAACCAUACUAAUCAAAUCGUUCCAACCCCUGUCAUCAUUUGUCGAAAACAUCACUUCUUACACCAAAUCUCAUGGCGUCGAAAACGCACGUAUACA
rnacentral:lncRNA from 1 species